rnacentral:lncRNA from 1 species
GGGGGGGGUUGGGGUGACGUAGAGAAACCCCCCCCCAAAAAAAUCGGGGGGGGAGGGGUCCUGGAGCUGGUGUCCUCAAGGUCCCCGAGGUCCUCAGGGUGGUGACACCAAGGGCCUGGAGCUCAUGACCCUGGUGGCCCCAAAACGACGUCUCCUGGGGGUCCCCAACCUGGAGGAACCCAAGACGGUGGAUUCCAAGGUCCCCAAGACCAUGUCCCCGAGGUCCCCGAGGUGACGUCUCCUGGGGGUCCUCAAGCUGGAGGAACCCAAGGUCCCCAAGGUCCCCGAGGUGGUGGCUUCAUGGGUCCUGCAGCUGGGGGGCCCCAAGGUUCUUGGCCCCAAUGUCCCCAACCUGGAGGACCCCAAGGUCCCCAAGACCAUGGACUCCAAGGUCCCAAAGCUCAUGUCCCCAAGGUCCCCAAGGUGACGUCUCCUGGGGGUCCUCAAGCUGGGGAACCUCAAGGUCCCCAAGACCAUGUCCCCAAGGUCCCCGAGGUGGCAGUUCCUGGGGGUCCUCAACCUGGAGGACCCCAAGACCAUGGACCCCAAGGUCCCAAAGUCCAUGUCCCCAAGGUCCCCAAGGUGGUGGCCUCUUGGGUCCUGCAGCUGGGGGACCCCAAGGUCCCCAGAGUCCAGGAGGUGACGUCCCCGAGGUGGUGUUUCCUGGGGGUCCCCAAGCUGGAGGUCCCCAAGACCAUGGACUCCAAGGUCCUGGAGCUCAUGUCCCUGGUGUCCCCAAGGUGGUGGCCUUGUAGGACCUCAAGCUGGGGGACCCCAAGGUUCUUGGCACCGAUGUCCCCGAGGUCCCCAAGCUGGAGGACCCCAAGGUCCCCAAGGUGGAGGACCCCAAGGUCCCCAAGACCAUGGACUCCAAGGUCCCAGAGCUCUUGUCCCCAAGGUCCCCAAGGUGGUGGCCUCGGGGGUCCCCAAGCUGGUGGACCCCAAGGUCCCCAGAGUCCAGGAGGUGACGUCCCCAAGGUGGUGUCUCCUGGGGGUCCUCAAGCUGGGGGACCCCAAGGUUCUU